UACGUAGGGGGGCAAGCGUUGUCCGGAUUCAUUGGGCGUAAAAGAGCGUGUAGGCGGCCAGGUAGGUCGGUUGUGAAAACUGGAGGCUCAACCUUCAGAGGUCGACCGAAACCAUCUGGCUAGAGUCCGGGAGAGGAGAGUGGAAUUCCUGGUGUAGCGGUGAAAUGCGCAGAUAUCAGGAAGAACACCCGUGGCGAAAGCGGCUCUCUGGAACGGUACUGACGCUGAGACGCGAAAGCGUGGGGAGCGAACAGG
rnacentral:rRNA from 1 species